GCGGAUAUGGCGGAAUUGGCAGACGCGCUAGAUUUAGGUUCUAGUGAGCAACCCUCGUGCAGGUUCAACUCCUGUUAUCCGCA
rnacentral:tRNA from 3 species